GUAGGUGGCAAGCGUUGUCCGGAAUUAUUGGGCGUAAAGCGCGCGCAGGCGGUUCUUUAAGUCUGAUGUGAAAGCCCACGGCUCAACCGUGGAGGGUCAUUGGAAACUGGAGAACUUGAGUACAGAAGAGGAAAGCGGAAUUCCACGUGUAGCGGUGAAAUGCGUAGAGAUGUGGAGGAACACCAGUGGCGAAGGCGGCUUUCUGGUCUGUAACUGACGCUGAUGCGCGAAAGCGUGGGGGAGCAAACAGGAUUAGAUACCCUGGUAGUCCACGCCGUAAACGAUGAGUGCUAAGUGUUAGGGGGUUUCCGCCCCUUAGUGCUGCAGCUAACGCAUUAAGCACUCCGCCUGGGAGUACGGCCGCAAGGCUG
rnacentral:rRNA from 1 species